UUUUAGCUAUCCUUAUUAAUGUUGUGCAGUUUAGCUAGAUUUAAUUUUACAGUUGCUAACUGCUGCUAACUGCUCAUUGGGAGCUAUUGCUCUGUAGUUUUAGGGUUAUUUAUUGCAUUUUAUUUGAUGUAUAGGAGCAGAAGCUGCUGGACUGAUGUUAACCACCAACUUGAUUUUCUCUUUUCUUGGCGCUCAGAAGAGGAGAAGUGCGGCUCCAUCUCUGCUCCAUUCAAGCCAUUUAAACACUUGUGGACACACAAACGGCCUCCAGCAGUCAUUGGUCGCCUGUACAUCACAUGGGAGGAAGCCGGAGAAAAUGCAAAAACCUAUCCAAGUGGAGAACAUGUAAGCGCAAAACAAAACAAAAAACCCAAGUCUGGAGUUUGAACGAUUUUGCUGCAAGGCAACAGAAAACACAUCUGACAUGGUUUUCUUAUUUCUUUUUUUUUUUUUUAACUAUUGUGUUUGCAGUCAUAUUUAAUCUCUUUGUUCUGAAACCUUAAAAUAAAAUA